UCGGAAUCGCUAGUAAUCGUGGAUCAGAAUGCCACGGUGAAUACGUUCCCGGGCCUUGUACACACCGCCCGUCACACCAUGGGAGUGGGUUGCAAAAGAAGUAGGUAGCUUAACCUUCGGGAGGGCGUUUACCACUUUGUGAUUCAUGACUGGGGUGAAGUCGUAACAAGGUAACCGUAGGGGAACCUGCGGUUGGAUCACCUCCUUA
rnacentral:rRNA from 1 species